rnacentral:rRNA from 1 species
GACGAACGCUGGCGGCGUGCUUAACACAUGCAAGUCGAACGGAAAGGCCCUGCUUUUGUGGGGUGCUCGAGUGGCGAACGGGUGAGUAACACGUGAGUAACCUGCCCUUGACUUUGGGAUAACUUCAGGAAACUGGGGCUAAUACCGGAUAGGAGCUCCUGCUGCAUGGUGGGGGUUGGAAAGUUUCGGCGGUUGGGGAUGGACUCGCGGCUUAUCAGCUUGUUGGUGGGGUAGUGGCUUACCAAGGCUUUGACGGGUAGCCGGCCUGAGAGGGUGACCGGCCACAUUGGGACUGAGAUACGGCCCAGACUCCUACGGGAGGCAGCAGUGGGGAAUAUUGCACAAUGGGCGGAAGCCUGAUGCAGCAACGCCGCGUGCGGGAUGACGGCCUUCGGGUUGUAAACCGCUUUCGCCUGUGACGAAGCGUGAGUGACGGUAAUGGGUAAAGAAGCACCGGCUAACUACGUGCCAGCAGCCGCGGUGAUACGUAGGGUGCGAGCGUUGUCCGGAUUUAUUGGGCGUAAAGGGCUCGUAGGUGGUUGAUCGCGUCGGAAGUGUAAUCUUGGGGCUUAACCCUGAGCGUGCUUUCGAUACGGGUUGACUUGAGGAAGGUAGGGGAGAAUGGAAUUCCUGGUGGAGCGGUGGAAUGCGCAGAUAUCAGGAGGAACACCAGUGGCGAAGGCGGUUCUCUGGGCCUUUCCUGACGCUGAGGAGCGAAAGCGUGGGGAGCGAACAGGCUUAGACACCCUGGUAGUCCACGCUGUAAACGGUGGGUACUAGGUGUGGGGUCCAUUCCACGGGUUCCGUGCCGUAGCUAACGCUUUAAGUACCCCGCCUGGGGAGUACGGCCGCAAGGCUAAAACUCAAAGGAAUUGACGGGGCCCCGCACAAGCGGCGGAGCAUGCGGAUUAAUUCGAUGCAACGCGUAGAACCUUACCUGGGUUUGACAUGGAUCGGGAGUGCCCAGAGAUGGGUGUGCCUCUUUUGGGGUCGGUUCACAGGUGGUGCAUGGCUGUCGUCAGCUCGUGUCGUGAGAUGUUGGGUUAAGUCCCGCAACGAGCGCAACCCUUGUUCACUGUUGCCAGCACGUUAUGGUGGGGACUCAGUGGAGACCGCCGGGGUCAACUCGGAGGAAGGUGGGGAUGACGUCAAGUCAUCAUGCCCCUUAUGUCCAGGGCUUCACGCAUGCUACAAUGGCUGGUACAGAGAGUGGCGAGCCUGUGAGGGUGAGCGAAUCUCGGAAAGCCGGUCUCAGUUUGGAUUGGGGUCUGCAACUCGACCUCAUGAAGUCGGAGUCGCUAGUAAUCGCAGAUCAGCAACGCUGCGGUGAAUACGUUCCCGGGGCU